GAGUCUCUCUAUUGGAAGGGGAAAAUAUAAUAUUAGACACCAUUUAUUUUUCUGCUCGCUGAUGCAUGCAAUGUAUCAUUUGGCCUUGAUUUAAUGUACUGCACUUUUCUUCAUUGCUCUCUGUUCUUUAAUAAGUCAGACUCAUAUAGAACCUGAUAUUUCUUAGUGAUGUCUUCAGAUCCCAUGAAUGUCAUUUUGCACCGAAGGUUUGUAACCAUUGGGGAAUGUUUUCUUGCUCUGAUGUAUCAAGUUUCCAUGGGGGUGAUCUAGAGGUCUCUUCCUUGUCCAAAGUAUGUCAUACCUAAUCAAGACAUGUUCAUUUAAUUUACCCGUCAUGUAAAUGACACAACAUGAUUCACUUGUGUAUAGUGUAAAAAUAUAUUUAUUUAUGGUACACAGGUGUUCAAAUUAUAGUUGUGAAACGUGUAUAGUGUAAAAAUAUAAUUAUUAAGGGAUGUGACGUCACAGUGGUCGUGCCUCGUCU